rnacentral:sRNA from 1 species
AAAAACUGCCUUGGCUAAAAAGCAAGGUAGUUCAGGGCUCAGCAGCUUUGAGGCGAACAUGCUCAGAAUGAGCUCUGGAGACUUCAGUGAGAGUCUCGCCUGGUGAAGAGGAGAAGGAUUCAAAAUGGAAGCAGAGAUUCCAGCCUUUGUCCUGGAUUUUAUUACAUUAUUGACCCAAUGGAGGAACCCGUGCUUUUAGCAAGGGUAGUUUUAAGUGCCUGUUAAAGGAGAGAGGGCCGACUUGGUGGUGCGUAUCUUUAAUUCUGGCACUUGGGAGGCAGAAGCAGAGGGAUUUCAUCUAACAGUAGGAGUGCUGAGUCAGAUGUCAACAUUUCAAGCCACAUGACCUCCUUUUCCACAAAAGGAGAGGGGGAUGGGUAUCAAAGUGACCAUUUGGGGAAGGCAGAAAUUCAGCAUUUCAGCCCAUCUUCAAGGUAUUCAUGAGAUUUUGGGUUGGCUGGGAGGAAGGAUAGAAUAUGUAGAAGAAAGCAGUGUGGGCCAAAUUGGUCCAUUAACCAUUAUCUUGGUUUAGAUUCUGUAAGAAGGCCCAAAGGACAAAUUCCAGCUCUACUGCCUGGCCAUGAAGGACACCUCCUCUCUAACACCUGACCCCCUCUCUACCACCUGGAUCCACAGAGAUUCUGACUCCUGCUCUAGGAGGACCUUUCAUAUGUGGCCUGGCUGCAAGACCUGCCGUUCUUAGAAUCAAGGGCACUGCAGGUCUCUGACAAUGAGCAGAGAUGUGCAAGAUACCUUUGUAGGACUCCGUAAUAGCUACAGGAAGACACCUCACCAUGCUUAUCUUGGCUCCUUCAGCCUUGGGACUUACCAAAUGCUGUAUAGAGAUAUGGGAAUGUUUACCUCUAAUGGGAGAGACAUAUCACCCAUUUUAAUGUGUGCAAAGAGAAGCUGAAUGUCCCAGAGGGAACACAUUUGGGUAUGUAUACAUCUGAGGUAUGCAUGAGGCCGGAAUUCAACCAUGGAUAUUGGUCUUCCUGGAGCCAAGCAUUUUAUUUUGAAACAGGUUCUCAGCCCUGUGAUGUAAUUUUUAAGAAAAAAUGACAGCAGAUCUACUGGAGUAACUAGUGCCGCAAGUUGUUCUGAAGUUCACUUCAGUGUUGCUUUAAGAUUCGGCAGAGGUGUGCCUUACUUAACAGCCACGCUCUUGACACUUUCUGUGCUUAGAUCUCCAAGCCUUGAGCGCCCUUUUAUAAUUCCCUGUUGGAGAUUGGUUCUGAUGCUUUGAUUCAAUCAGAAAUUUGCAUAUCCAAAGGCUAAAGGAUGGCCCUGGCUGGGUGGAGAGAGAAGGGAGGAUGUAGAAGCUUCAGAAGAUAAAGCCAACGAGCCACAUGAGAUUUUGGCAGUAAGUCUGUCUGUACUGACAAGAACAUUCAAGAUGCUAGAAAGACCACAGUGACAAAGCAAAGUGAAGACAACUGCAUCACAAUGAAAUCCACUACUCUGUCUAGAGUGAACAAGUUAAACAGUCGGAGGGACAGCCCUGAGUGCCAGCGUCAAAGACUCGCACCAACCAGUGUGGAUAUUAGCAGAGACUGAGUGACCCCAACACUUCAUGUGGUAAAAGUGCUGUAGAAAGUUAAAUACUUCCUUGGAAAAAGUGGAGAAGAAGAUACUUUAACAGCACAAUGCAGUCAAAUGUCUGCUGAGAUAGAUACUGGCAUGGAAGAAGGGCCAGCAGCACAGCCCCAGGACAGCAGUAGCACCCACAAUCAGUAGAAGCACCGUGAGUGUGAGUAAACAUCUGCACGGGUGGAUCCCCAUGCUGAGGCCCGGAAUCCCAGAAGACGACAACCAUUCACGGAUGUUGGGCUAAGAUUAGGCUUCCCCUCUCCUCCUCCUUCUCUAAGAUUAGGCUUCCCCUCUCCUCCUCCUUCUCCUUCUCCCUCUUAUUCUUUACAAACAUUCAAGUAAAACACUCAUGCAUAUGAAAUGCUAAGUAGUCUAAAUAAAACUUUUCUUCCAUGUUUUAAUGAUA